rnacentral:rRNA from 1 species
UUAAGCGACUAAGCGUACACGGUGGAUGCCCUGGCAGUCAGAGGCGAUGAAGGACGUGCUAAUCUGCGAUAAGCGUCGGUAAGGUGAUAUGAACCGUUAUAACCGGCGAUUUCCGAAUGGGGAAACCCAGUGUGAUUCGUCACACUAUCAUUAACUGAAUCCAUAGGUUAAUGAGGCGAACCGGGGGAACUGAAACAUCUAAGUACCCCGAGGAAAAGAAAUCAACCGAGAUUCCCCCAGUAGCGGCGAGCGAACGGGGAGGAGCCCAGAGCCUGAAUCAGUGUGUGUGUUAGUGGAAGCGUCUGGAAAGGCGCGCGAUACAGGGUGACAGCCCGUACACAAAAAUGCACAUGCUGUGAGCUCGAUGAGUAGGGCGGGACACGUGGUAUCCUGUCUGAAUAUGGGGGGACCAUCCUCCAAGGCUAAAUACUCCUGACUGACCGAUAGUGAACCAGUACCGUGAGGGAAAGGCGAAAAGAACCCCGGCGAGGGGAGUGAAAAAGAACCUGAAACCGUGUACGUACAAGCAGUGGGAGCCUCUUUAUGGGGUGACUGCGUACCUUUUGUAUAAUGGGUCAGCGACUUAUAUUCUGUAGCAAGGUUAACCGAAUAGGGGAGCCGAAGGAAACCGAGUCUUAACUGGGCGUUAAGUUGCAGGGUAUAGACCCGAAACCCGGUGAUCUAGCCAUGGGCAGGUUGAAGGUUGGGUAACACUAACUGGAGGACCGAACCGACUAAUGUUGAAAAAUUAGCGGAUGACUUGUGGCUGGGGUGAAAGGCCAAUCAAACCGGGAGAUAGCUGGUUCUCCCCGAAAGCUAUUUAGGUAGCGCCUCGUGAAUUCAUCUCCGGGGUAGAGCACUGUUUCGGCAAGGGGUCAUCCCGACUUACCAACCCGAUGCAAACUGCGAAUACCGGAGAAUGUUAUCACGGGAGACACACGGCGGGUGCUAACGUCCGUCGUGAAGAGGAAACAACCCAGACCGCCAGCUAAGGUCCCAAAGUCAUGGUUAAGUGGGAAACGAUGUGGGAAGGCCCAGACAGCCAGGAUGUUGGCUUAGAAGCAGCCAUCAUUUAAAGAAAGCGUAAUAGCUCACUGGUCGAGUCGGCCUGCGCGGAAGAUGUAACGGGGCUAAACCAUGCACCGAAGCUGCGGCAGCGACACUAUGUGUUGUUGGGUAGGGGCGUUCUGUAAGCCUGCGAAGGUGUACUGUGAGGUAUGCUGGAGGUAUCAGAAGUGCGAAUGCUGACAUAAGUAACGAUAAAGCGGGUGAAAAGCCCGCUCGCCGGAAGACCAAGGGUUCCUGUCCAACGUUAAUCGGGGCAGGGUGAGUCGACCCCUAAGGCGAGGCCGAAAGGCGUAGUCGAUGGGAAACAGGUUAAUAUUCCUGUACUUGGUGUUACUGCGAAGGGGGGACGGAGAAGGCUAUGUUGGCCGGGCGACGGUUGUCCCGGUUUAAGCGUGUAGGCUGGUUUUCCAGGCAAAUCCGGAAAAUCAAGGCUGAGGCGUGAUGACGAGGCACUACGGUGCUGAAGCAACAAAUGCCCUGCUUCCAGGAAAAGCCUCUAAGCAUCAGGUAACAUCAAAUCGUACCCCAAACCGACACAGGUGGUCAGGUAGAGAAUACCAAGGCGCUUGAGAGAACUCGGGUGAAGGAACUAGGCAAAAUGGUGCCGUAACUUCGGGAGAAGGCACGCUGAUAUGUAGGUGAAGUCCCUCGCGGAUGGAGCUGAAAUCAGUCGAAGAUACCAGCUGGCUGCAACUGUUUAUUAAAAACACAGCACUGUGCAAACACGAAAGUGGACGUAUACGGUGUGACGCCUGCCCGGUGCCGGAAGGUUAAUUGAUGGGGUUAGCGGUAACGCGAAGCUCUUGAUCGAAGCCCCGGUAAACGGCGGCCGUAACUAUAACGGUCCUAAGGUAGCGAAAUUCCUUGUCGGGUAAGUUCCGACCUGCACGAAUGGCGUAAUGAUGGCCAGGCUGUCUCCACCCGAGACUCAGUGAAAUUGAACUCGCUGUGAAGAUGCAGUGUACCCGCGGCAAGACGGAAAGACCCCGUGAACCUUUACUAUAGCUUGACACUGAACAUUGAGCCUUGAUGUGUAGGAUAGGUGGGAGGCUUUGAAGUGUGGACGCCAGUCUGCAUGGAGCCGACCUUGAAAUACCACCCUUUAAUGUUUGAUGUUCUAACGUUGGCCCCUAAUCGGGGUUGCGGACAGUGUCUGGUGGGUAGUUUGACUGGGGCGGUCUCCUCCUAAAGAGUAACGGAGGAGCACGAAGGUUGGCUAAUCCUGGUCGGACAUCAGGAGGUUAGUGCAAUGGCAUAAGCCAGCUUGACUGCGAGCGUGACGGCGCGAGCAGGUGCGAAAGCAGGUCAUAGUGAUCCGGUGGUUCUGAAUGGAAGGGCCAUCGCUCAACGGAUAAAAGGUACUCCGGGGAUAACAGGCUGAUACCGCCCAAGAGUUCAUAUCGACGGCGGUGUUUGGCACCUCGAUGUCGGCUCAUCACAUCCGGGGCUGAAGUAGGUCCCAAGGGUAUGGCUGUUCGCCAUUUAAAGUGGUACGCGAGCUGGGUUUAGAACGUCGUGAGACAGUUCGGUCCCUAUCUGCCGUGGGCGCUGGAGAACUGAGGGGGGCUGCUCCUAGUACGAGAGGACCGGAGUGGACGCAUCACUGGUGUUCGGGUUGUCAUGCCAAUGGCACUGCCCGGUAGCUAAAUGCGGAAGAGAUAAGUGCUGAAAGCAUCUAAGCACGAAACUUGCCCCGAGAUGAGUUCUCCUGACUCCUGAGAGUCCUGAAGGAACGUUGAAGACGACGACGUUGAUAGGCCGGGUGUGUAAGCGCAGCGAUGCGUUGAGCUAACCGGUACUAAUGAACCGUGAGGCUUAACCU